rnacentral:rRNA from 1 species
GAUCCUGGCUCAGGAUGAACGCUAGCUACAGGCUUAACACAUGCAAGUCGAGGGGCAUCAGGGUGUAGCAAUACACCGCUGGCGACCGGCGCACGGGUGAGUAACACGUAUCCAACCUGCCCUUUACUCGGGGAUAGCCUUUCGAAAGUAAGACUAAUGCCCAAUGAUAUCCCACGAAGGCAUCCGAAUGGGAUUAAAGAUUAUCGGUGAUGGAUGGGGAUGCGUCUGAUUAG